rnacentral:rRNA from 1 species
UACGGGGGGGGCAAGCGUUGUUCGGAAUUACUGGGCGUAAAGGGCUCGUAGGCGGCCAACUAAGUCAGACGUGAAAUCCCCAGGCUCAACCUGGGAACUGCGUCUGAUACUGGCAGGCUUGAAUCCGGGAGAGGGAUGUGGAAUUCCAGGUGUAGCGGUGAAAUGCGUAGAUAUCUGGAGGAACACCGGUGGCGAAGGCGGCAUCCUGGACCGGUAUUGACGCUGAGGCGCGAAAGCUAGGGGAGCAAACGGG